ensembl:lncRNA
UGCCAAGGCUGCACACACCCGCCCACCCGCACUGAAACUUUCAAAAUAAAACCUUACUGAAGAAUUCGUCUGACCUUUUAAAUCCCAGCUUUCACAGCAUUGCACCGCUUUUCUUGCUGUGGAAGAUGUGCUAAAUUCACGUCUGUGCUUGAAGCAGACAGAGGAACUCGAGCAGUGAGUGAAUCCAAGAUUUCUGUGUCCAUCACUCCAUCUUCUGGCUGAAAGCAGAUCACAGCCAGCGCCCUAACCAUAACCUUUUUCCUGACCUUAACCAGGACUUUAAUGAUGUUAAAUAGCGUGUUUCUAAGCGAUUUGAAGAACAUGUGUAGAUUGAGUCCAUACGGUUCUCAUAAUUCCUCAUUUUCCCGAGGUUGUCAUUUAGGAACGUGGUGGGUAGCCGAAAACGUAAUAUGUUGACGAUUUGUCACCUAGCGUAAAAUGUUACGCUUUGGGAGUGAGAACGUGUUGUCACAGCAAGAUUUUUUUUUAUUUAUUUUUUUGUUAAUGUAGGCUUAUUAUUCUAAUUUGCAGUUCCGAUUUUUUUUCCUUUUACUCUUAAAUCUACUAGAUUCUAGCUUUGCAAUGAUUUACCUUUCAAAUUAGUCCUUAUUUAUCUAAUACAGGUCCCUGGUGUAACCCCUCAAUACCAACUAGUUUAGGACUGACUCAGUCCAAAAGUAGUCAAAGCCAAAGUUCUUCUGAUUUGCUUUCCCACGAAAAAAAGAAGAUUUGAACAGCAGGUAGGUUUCUGCUUGAGAUAUAGUAACAUCCCCUCUUGUUGGUAACACACAGAGCUAGUAUUUAAAAAAGUGUUUAAAGCUGCUUUAGCUUUAAGCUCGAGGGAUUGCUUUUGCAUAUUAUGUCAUUACUGGAGUCUUUGCCCAUCUUUAAGUGGAGCUAUUAUGGAAAAAACAAUCAUAUUUGAGUUGUCGGCACUACGUUUAAGAUACUUUUGUUAAACCUUUAAUAACUAAAAAGAUUUAGUGCUUGGUAAAUCCUUUUUAGUUAUUAAACCCUGAACCAAAUUGCUGACUUAUGUCAUCAUCAGAGGUCCAUGUGUGACAAGAAAUGUUAUAAUACUUUUAUUCAGUGUUCUCAGUAAAAAUAUGCUAACGCAUAAAACCAAUGUGUAAAAUUAGCUGAUUGCCCUGAAUGCUGUCAUUUAGGUUGCUGGGUAGAAGACAUUUCUUGCUAUAACUGGCAAACUCACAUCAGAGUGUAUCACAUGUGUUUUGUAGUUUCAUGUGAU